AUUCUGCCCAUACGGGGAAGGAUGAGAACCUUUGACCAAGGUUCGACUCGAGCGUCAGCGAGAGAGCGUUGCCGCAGGCAACGACCCGAAGGGCGAAGCGCGCAGCGCUGAGUAAUCCUUCCCCCACCACCA
rnacentral:sRNA from 1 species